CGUACGCAUGCGUGAGGGUGAGCUGCUGAGCGUUUGGCGUGAUCCACCAGCUGAGGGGCUGCAGUGGAUGAUGACUGGUUGAAGCAGCCUCGCCUGGCCUGGUCUGACUGGACUCUAGGGCUGGUUGAAGCAGCCUCACCUGUAGCAGUAAUCAGUGAGCACAGGAGCCCACAGAAGUCUCCGAGCAGGAGCAACAGCCAGGUGGAGUACAGCACUGUACUGCUACACCAACGCAGAACGCUUCAUUUGUCUUGUGUGUACAAUACCUCAAUGUAACACUGUCGUUUUUUAUGGGUCGUCUUGAAAAAAAACAUGAGGGGUAACACUGUCGUUUUUUAAGGGUCGUCUUGAAAAAAAACAUGAGGGGUAACACUGUCGUUUUUUAUUGGUCGUCUUGAAAAAAAAACAUAAGGGGUAACACUGUCGUUUUUAAUUGGUCUUCUUGAAAAAAA
ensembl:lncRNA